AGCGAACGCUGGCGGCAGGCUUAACACAUGCAAGUCGAGCGGGCAUCCUUGUGGUGUCAGCGGCAGACGGGUGAGUAACGCGUGGGAACGUGCCCUUCGGUUCGGAAUAACUCAGGGAAACUUGAGCUAAUACCGGAUACGUGCGAGAGCAGAAAGGUUUAUCUGCCGAAGGAUCGGCCCGCGUCUGAUUAGCUAGUUGGUGAGGUUAUGGCUCACCAAGGCGACGAUCAGUAGCUGGUCUGAGAGGAUGAUCAGCCACACUGGGACUGAGACACGGCCCAGACUCCUACGGGAGGCAGCAGUGGGGAAUAUUGGAAAAUGGGGGCAACCCUGAUCCAGCCAUGCCGCGUGAGUGCUGAUGGCCUUAGGGUUGUAAAGCUCUUUUCUCCGGGACGAUAAUGACGGUACCGGAGGAAUAAGCCCCGGCUAACUUCGUG
rnacentral:rRNA from 1 species